rnacentral:rRNA from 1 species
CAGUAGCCGCGGUAAUACGUAGGUGGCAAGCGUUGUCCGGAAUUAUUGGGCGUAAAGGGCUCGCAGGCGGUUUCUUAAGUCUGAUGUGAAAGCCCCCGGCUCAACCGGGGAGGGUCAUUGGAAACUGGGAAACUUGAGUGCAGAAGAGGAGAGUGGAAUUCCACGUGUAGCGGUGAAAUGCGUAGAGAUGUGGAGGAACACCAGUGGCGAAGGCGACUCUCUGGUCUGUAACUGACGCUGAGGAGCGAAAGCGCGGGGAGCGAACAGGAUUAGAUACCCCUGUAGUCCCUGUCUCUUAUAC